GUAUGAUUCUCCUAGCAUGAAUAUUUCUUAGAGUUUCUUCCUGAUUUGUUGUUCUAUUCAUUAAUUAGAAACAUAUAUAACCACGAUCUAUUGACAUUGGCUGUCUAGACUACUGGGACAUCUGGGCCUGUUUUAUGUAUGUCAAUCGGUUGGUUGACAUUGUGAGAGCGCUCCAAUGUUGAAGCUAUUUAUAUUUAGUCGAUGUGCCAUUUUUUUGUCAGCUACAGCCCUAAAAUUAGGGCUGUCCAAACAAUCUGGUGGAACCGAAAACUGUCCAGUCCCCUGUGAAUUGGUCGGUUUGGUUUAGUUUUUUUAGAAACAGGUUUAGUUCCGAUUCCGGUUCUGACAUCUUUGAAACCGACUUAAAUGGUUCGGUUCAAGGAUUUGUGUGACCGGUUUUAAAUUGAACCGGAUAAUAUUAAUAUAUUUUAUAUAUCUAUUUUAAUACAAUGAGUCCUUGCUUUAUAUUUGGUGAGACUCUUAGUGGAUAAAAAGUUUCAACUAUAAAAGUAACAGAUCUAGUCCUAAUAUAUCUUAUGCUGUUGCCUUUUAAUUUUUUUCAUUCCUGCUUUUGUUAAUUUAUGAAUAUCUAAGUUUAUGUAGUCAUCUUAUUCUCUAGCUAUAUUGAGAAAUUUAUCAUGAAUAUGUGAUUGUUUUUAUAGAAAAUUUAUUGUGGAUAUAUUUAUGUCGUGGAUAUAAAUAUAUAAUUGUUUAGUAGAAAAUUUAAUAAUUUGACUGCUAAAAUCGUGUUUCCAAAUCAUAACCGAACCAUUAUUUUUAAAGAUCGGAUUGGAUUGGUUUUAAGUUUUGGAUGGAUCGGAUUGGUUCGAAAAAUUCAAUAACCGUAAGAUUUGGUUCGAUUCUUGAUUUUAUUCAAAAUCAAUUCAAUCCAAUCCAUGGAACCUUGCCUAAAAUGUCAAAAAAAUAACAGUGGUGUUGUAUUGCUUCAAUGCCAUUUUAGCACGUAUUAUUAAUAAUAUUUUUCCUUUUAUUUCUAGCUAUUGAAUAUCUCGCAUCAAGAUUAUUGAAUAAAAACAAAAAUAUUGAGUUGGCACAAAUGUGAUUUGCCGAACUUGUUGCCAAAUUUAUCAAAACAAAUGGCUUAGCUAAAUUUUGACAGCAAGUAUAGGCUAUAGCCGACCGUUAGAGUGGGUUUAGACCAGGCUUCUGUUGGAGAAAUUUUGAAACUUCCAAAACUUACUCUAAUUGUAAUUGAUUAUUCGGUUAAUCCAAUUUAUUUCCUAUUUGUUAUAAGUUUUAUAACUUCCAUUAUUUGGCAUUUAUAUAUUGGUAACUCCCUUAUUCAAUAUAAUGUUUUGGAUGUUACACAUCCAUGGCUUUAUAUAAGGACAAAGCUAUGUUUGGAUGAUAGAUAUAUAUUAUAGAAUAGAGAUGUUUGAGAUAGUGUAAUAUACUCCUCAUAUAUUUUCAUAUUAUAUGUUUAUGGGCAACUUUAUUUGGGACGGUUCUUUCCUCUUUGUGGACGUGAACACUAAAUGAGGGUGACUUGUGUGUAUUGGGUGCGGUCUUGGAGCCAUUACUAUUCAUUAGAAUAUUCACAUGGAGAGACAUAGUGACUUUAGGAUAUCGAUCACCACGCCUCACAAUUUCACAAGCCAACUAUUCUAUUUUCACUUAAUUCCUUACAUAUUUAUAUAAUUUGUAUUCUGAUUAUUUAUUUAUUUAUAUUUGAAGAAUAUAUUUCUAACAGCUUCUUCCAAAUUUUGGCUUUGACAAGGGAAAUACCUGACUGUGGAACUGUUUUGACAUAUAAAAAGUUGGUUUAAAGUUAGUUUUACCGCAUUUGUUCAUGCAUAACACAAUUUCUAAUAACUCAGGUUGGCUAACUAAUUUAGUUGAGGUUGUCUUUUUCGUUUCUAUUUAUUUAACAAACUUCUCACUUCUACGUUGUUUCCAGUGAUUAAUUCUCAAAAUAAAUUGGGGUAAUGGGGAUUAAUAAUGUAAUUUUUUUCUUACUCCUUGUAUACGUUAGAUUAGUGCAGGUAUAUCACUGAAACUGGUUUAAAAUAGAACUAAUAAUUGUCUGUGCCCACAGAAACUAUGUUAAAAAAAAAAGAUCAUCUCUUAAGCGUAUUCUUUAAAGUUUUACAACCUAAAAAAUAGACAAGAUAUAAACGUCAGAUUAGAGAUACAUUGCAUGUACAUACGAAGAGAUAUAUUACUACAAAAUCAAGAAUAAAUUAGAAAGUAUAAUAAUUUAAAAAAAAUAUUACUAGUUUGGGAGAAAUGAAAAGAAAAAAAUGAGUGUUUUAAUUUUUUUUUUUGUGGGGGUCACACUAAAAAAAUGAUCAAAUGGUUAAAAAAUAUACUCAGUUUUAGAGAUUUUUCGACCAUUGAAUUACAAUAUAUGCAGACUCUACAUCUUUGAGAAGAAGGAAGUGAUAUUUUUUUUGGUGAAAAAAUAUAAUUUCAAGUGAAAUUUCAGCCAUUGAAUUUAUGCAAAUAGAUUCUAGUUGCAAAUAGUGAAAGAUAAUUUAAA
rnacentral:lncRNA from 1 species